rnacentral:rRNA from 2 species
AAAUUGAAGAGUUUGAUCAUGGCUCAGAUUGAACGCUGGCGGCAGGCCUAACACAUGCAAGUCGAACGGUAACAGGAAGCAGCUUGCUGCUUCGCUGACGAGUGGCGGACGGGUGAGUAAUGUCUGGGAAGCUGCCUGAUGGAGGGGGAUAACUACUGGAAACGGUGGCUAAUACCGCAUAACGUCGCAAGACCAAAGAGGGGGACCUUCGGGCCUCUUGCCAUCAGAUGUGCCCAGAUGGGAUUAGCUAGUUGGUGAGGUAACGGCUCACCAAGGCGACGAUCCCUAGCUGGUCUGAGAGGAUGACCAGCCACACUGGAACUGAGACACGGUCCAGACUCCUACGGGAGGCAGCAGUGGGGAAUAUUGCACAAUGGGCGCAAGCCUGAUGCAGCCAUGCCGCGUGUAUGAAGAAGGCCUUAGGGUUGUAAAGUACUUUCAGCGGGGAGGAAGGUGUUGUGGUUAAUAACCGCAGCAAUUGACGUUACCCGCAGAAGAAGCACCGGCUAACUCCGUGCCAGCAGCCGCGGUAAUACGGAGGGUGCAAGCGUUAAUCGGAAUUACUGGGCGUAAAGCGCACGCAGGCGGUCUGUCAAGUCGGAUGUGAAAUCCCCGGGCUCAAC